GUCCAAUCUUUUGUAGUAGCCACUUAGCCACAAACACUUGCCAAAGUUAGCAUUCAUAUUUGUUUUUUGCAUUUUUUACACAAAAACUGCACUUUUACAGGUGAUUUCAUUGUCUUGAAAAGUUUUACUGUUUUAAACACUCAUAUUGAUGUUCAGCGAAGUUUCCCGAGUAUAACAAUACCCACCAUGUACAGGUUUUUAAAGGUGUUUUGGAAAGUUACAGGGUUAAUAUAGAGCUUGCCCAAUUCAGUUGCCAGAUUGGUUUGCUGAGUCUAUGUUGCCUUUUGAAACCAUAUGAUAGCCCAGGAAUGUGAAUUAACCUCAUCAUGGCAAAUUCAUUUUCAAAUG